UACGGAGGGUGCAAGCGUUAUCCGGAUUCACUGGGUUUAAAGGGUGCGUAGGUGGGUAGGUAAGUCCGUGGUGAAAUCCUGCAGCUUAACUGCAGAACUGCCGUGGAUACUAUCUGUCUUGAAUAUCGUGGAGGUUAGCGGAAUAUGUCAUGUAGCGGUGAAAUGCUUAGAUAUGACAUAGAACACCAAUUGCGAAGGCAGCUGGCUACACGAAUAUUGACACUGAUGCACGAAAGCGUGGGGAUCAAACAGG
rnacentral:rRNA from 1 species